UUUUUUAAUUUAAAUUUAUUCUUGAACAUUUUUGACAUAUAUACAUCAUUAAGUUCUGUAACGAUAACAGUUAACAUAAAUCACAGAAAGCAUAGACUCAUAUUUUUUUUAUUACAAUCCCAACUUUUAUUUUGAAUUAACAAAAUUUAAGAAAAAAGAAGAAAAAAAAAUGAUUUUUGACCAAUUUUUGCCACUGAAGUUUGACCCGUCUUCAAGGUUUGACCGCCUCAAACCGCCUCGGACCGCCUAACAAGCAAAAACCCGAUUUUCAAACAUUUACACUAAAAUCGUAAAGCUCUGGGACAUCCUCCGCCUCAUAGGUAAAAACCCGAUUUUCAAACCUUUACACUAAAAUCGUAAAGGUUUAGGACGGCCUCCGCCUCGGAGACCGAUUAAUCAGCCGCCUCGGCCUAUUUUUAGAACACUGAAAAUAACUAAUUCAAAACUUAAAAGACAAAAUUUAAAUAAAAUAAAUAUAGCAUAACCAACGCCAUUCAGUUCAAUCCACUGCAUCGUUUCUGACUUCAUCUUUGCUUUUUUCUGUAUUUUCUUAGAGAUUUUCAUAAUCUUUAUAGGAAUUACUUCCAUAAUUAUAGUUUUAAUUUAUUUAUGUGUUUGAUAUACUAGAAAUGCUAUAUUUAUUCAUUAAUAUUAUUAAUUUAUUAUACUACUUAAUGUAAAAAAAAUCAGGUUGUUUUGUAUGGCGGGGUGGGACGGGUUUCACGGCUAUUAAAAAAAUUGAACCCGUCUUAGACCAAACCCACGCAAUUUCAACAAUUUAGGACCCAAUCCUAUGGAUGGAUCUAUCCGUCCUGUCAUAGCGGAGCGAUUUUUCACGAGUUUGACGGGUUUAGCAGGUUGAUGGGUCUGACUAGCUCACCACUACUAUAUUUUGUUCACCUUGGAACAAUAUAGAGCAAAAGUAAAAUCAGACCAAACAGUAGGGACAAAAAUUGUAAUUCUUCCUCAUUUCGCCCUACUUCAUACAUAUUUGGGGUAAUGUGGAUGAAGUGGACCAAAUGCGUCGAAAAUGAAACAACAGGGACGAAAAGUGAAAUCGGAUCAAACAUAGGGACCAAAAGUGUAAUCAUCCCAUAAACAUUCAUAAAAGUAAUUCUUAUUUUUCUUAGUCAAAUUUGUUUUAUCCCUCAAGUUUACACCGAUUUCACAUGUAACCCUCUAAAAAAAUACAUUUGGUCCUUCAUGUCUCAAUAAUUUAAUAGUUUUGGUCGUUUUCAUCAAUUUACCGUUAGUUCGUCAGUUAAGACAGUCCUGGGCACACACUUGAUUCCGUUAGUAUCAACAAAAAAUUGACGAAAAAGGCUAAAAGUGUUAAUUUUUUAAACAGGAGGGACUAAAUGUAUUUUUUUGUGAAUAUGGGGACCAAAUGUGAAAUCGGUGCAAUCUUAGGGACUAAAACUGUAUUGUUUUCCUUUUUUUAAUAUAUAUAUAUAUAUAUAUAUAUAUAUAUAUAUAUAUAUAUAUAUAUAUAUAUAUAUAUUAUUUCUUUUGGACAGAUGAAAGAUGUAAAAGUACAGUAGAACCUCAACAAAUUAAUACUCGAUAAAUUAAUAACCUCGCUAAAAUAAUAAUUUCUUAUGGCCCCGAUUCGGUAAAAACCUACUAAAUUAUUAGUUCGAUAAUUUAAUAUUUCACUAAAUUAAUUGAAUAUAGACUAAAUUAAUAGAAUAUAGAGGUUUAACUGUAAUACGUACCUCUGCAUAUCUAUUGAAUUAUAUUGCUGAGCAGUCUCUUCUCCUCCGGCACUGUAUUUUCGGAGCUUGUUCUUCUCGCGGAUCUCGGUGAGAUUGAUUGAUGAACUAUAUAUAUAUAUAUAUAUAUAUAUAUAUAUAUAUAUAUAUAUAUAUAUAUAUAUAUAUAUUAUUCGGUCAGUGAAGUCUUAGCUAAAUAAAUACCCUAAAUAAAAGCCCUAAAUCGAAACCUUUGUGGAACAAAAACCUGAAACCUCUUGUAAUUUUAUCAGGAUAAAUUUUGUACAUGUAAUUUGUUUAUUUUUUUGACGAAAGCAUAUCCCUUUAUGAUAUGAAUGUAUUUCAGCAAUUACAUACUAAUUAAUUCUUUUAGGCCUUUUGAUUACAUACUAAUUAAUUCUUUUAGGCCUUUUGGGUGUUAGGAAUGAAGCCGGAUAAAGUUGUGGUACUCGACUAUAAAUGUUUGGUUUACUAUACUUAGGGGUGGAAAUCGGACGGAUCGGAUCGGAUUUGGGUGUUUCGGAAAAUUUCCGAUUUUUUUCGGAACUCCAAAACGACUUCCGAUUCCGAUUCCGAUUUUUUCGGAAUUCAAAAAGUGAUUCCGAUUCCGAUUUUUUCGGAAUUUUCGGAAAAUCGGAAUUUUUCGGAAAUAUUCAUUUUCGGAAUUUUCGGAAAUUUUCGGAAAUUUUUCGGAAAAUUUUCGGAAUUUUUCGGAAUUUUUCGGAAAUUUUCGGAAUUUUCCCAAAAAAAAACAAAAAAAAAAAAAAAAAAAAAAUGAGCACCGACACAGUAGCAAAACAGAACAUCUCACACAAAAACACAAAUAAAUCAAUUGAAUGAAGAUUAAAUUUGAAUCAAUUAAAUUAGAUUUAUUCUAAAAAUACCCGAUAGAGAGAGCGGCUUUGCUGGUGGUCGUCGGAGAGCCGGGAGGCCUGGUUGCGAUGGUGGUGGUUGGAGAAUCGGGAGGCGCAAGUGGUGGUGGUCGUCGGAGAAUUGGGAGGCGCUGCUGGUGGUGGUGGUCGUCGGAGAGCCGAGAUGCGCUAGUGGUGGUGGUCGUCGGAGAACCGAGAGGCAGUGGUGGUGGUGGUCGUCGGAGAAGGCGCUGGUGGUGGUGGGGGAGAAAGAACGGUCGGAUUGCUGAGAGAGAGAGUCGGGAAAUUAGGGUUUCGAAGUAAUUUUAAUAAAUGUUGAGUUUUUGACUUUUGUAUGUUUUAGAAAAUUAAAAAAUAAUAAUAAUAUAUAUGUAUAUAUUAUUAUUAUAUAUAUAAUACUAUUAAUUAGUACAGGCGGAUAGAUAUAUACAUAUAUUUUAUAUAUUAUAUAUAGUAAUAAAUAUUAAUAUUAUAAUUGAAAAAAUCGGAAAAAAAUCGGAAAUAAUCGGAAAUAAUCGGAAAUAAUCGGAAUAAUUUCGGAUCGGAAAUCGGAAAUUCCGAAAUUCUGUAAUGUAUUUCCGAUUCCGAUCCGAUUUUUUUCGGAAUUUUCGGAAAUCGGAAUUUCGGAAUUCGGAAUUGAAAAAGUCGUUCCAAAAUCGGAAUAUUUCGGAUCGGAUUCGGCGGAAAUCGGAAUUUUCGUUCCAAUUUCCACCCCUAACUAUACUGAUAACUUUAGUGAGAGAAACUACAUGGGCCAUUUCAAAUUUGGCAAACUUUAUCGUGGAAAGACAAAGUCCUGUGGAUUGACAACAUAUCUGAUGUUGAAGAUUUGGAAAAGGGCAUUUCCUGAAAUAUAUA
rnacentral:lncRNA from 1 species